rnacentral:lncRNA from 1 species
CAACAAUGGAGUCAAGGUGUUUCGAUAUCCCGACACCAAAACAUUUGUGCACAUUUAUGUCGGGUUUUGGAUGGUGAGCGUCCAGUGAGCUGUCUUUCAACUUGAUGUUGAAUUACAUUUACUGGUUGAGGAUUUGAUUUCCUCUAUUUCCGCGGAAGCAUGUGCGAGAUUAUAUCUCGUGUGGUCAGAUUUCUCCCCCUCUUGCUCUCAUUUCACGAGUAGAGUGGUUUAUCAGGUACCUCCACUCUUUUUGACACUUUACUGCAGGAAUAUAAUUGAGUAACACCUUUGUCAUCACUAAAUGUAUGUGGCCGAUUUGCAAUGUGUUGCAAAUAUGUGAUUCUAAACUUCUUGUUCAGAUUCUUUGAGUACGUAGAUAUAAGGAUGGAAUGUGAAUAACAUUUCUAAUUUAUUUCUCGGCAUUCUUUGUGGUACUAAUCUCCCCCUAAUGCUAGAAAUGUCCUUGUUUCUCAUGCAAUCAGCAUACGGGCUAUGAAUAAUUUUGAUUGACGGAUAAAUUGUUAUUCCUCACAUAGUUCCCUAAAUUUCUGUGAGAGCCCAUUGAUGUAUGCUGGAGUGGUGAUAUCAGUAUGUAACCGUAUUAUCGCAGAUAGGAAAAACAUUGUUGAUUUCCACGUAAUUACUACAAGGGGAAAGUAGUAUGCUAUGAAGUUGGUAUGAUUUAGAUCAUAGUUACGGUGUGUAAUGCCGUAUUUGUGUAGCAUGAUGCUAGUAAAUUAUGAUUCUAUAAGUUUGGUCAUAUUAAUAAUUUCACUAUCUUUGAUAAGAUAUUGAACUAAACCAUUAUGUGUAUGUACAUAAGUAUU